ACGUCUUUUACUUUUUGUUUGCCGGAGAGCGAAGAUCGCAAAGGUAAUUCCUUGUUCGCUGAAGUUGAUCAGCGCCAAGCCAUGAAAACGCUGCUAAACGUUCAAAAGAAAAGUUAUUUAGAAAUGAAAAAGAUCUACAGCGAAAGCGAAUAUGAGAUACGUCAUUUAAAACGUGAAAAUACUUCUAUGCUAUUCUGAGUUGGAGGCAUGCAGCUCAAUAUUUUGUUAUGUAGAUAGGGCUUAUCAAGAAAAACUAAACCAACGUAUGCAACGGCUACCAAGUGAGAACGAUGGCCGGUAGCUCGUCUUCAGAAUAUGACGUAUAACGGACAGGCAAAAUCCUCAAAAUAAUCGAGCGGGUGGUGAUUGAGCGUUAAGUGAAAUUUUUAAUUUCAUAUCAGCGAACGGUUAUCAAGUUGUAAUUAGUGGUGCUAGUCAUGCGGCAAAUGAAAUCGGAAAAAUUUCCCAUAAUUCAAGGCGAGUUAGCACGGUACAAGCAGCCUAAAAAAACGCAGAAGUUAACCUGGAACAAAGCAGCAAAGCCUUCAAUAGUGCUAGCAGCUCAUCUUAACACAUUCGGUUUGUUUAAUGAGUAUCCAUUAGAUGUUGAUGCUGCCGUUUUGAUGGCUUUAGCCGACAUAUUCAUUUAACUCCACAAUAUGCUAUACGCAACGCGCCCUUUGUUUGGUGAUUUGUAAUACAUGCGACGACAAUAUGGUUCAGAUAAAUGAUGCUCUAAUCAAAAAUCAUUUUGCUUUAUAUGAUCCAGAGUGGGAAGAGUGCAAUUUUAAAAAGCUCUGCACUCUAAUAUCAAUGCUGUUACAUAAUUCCUAAUUAAUUUUUACCAUUCAUUUUUACCAUAACGGAAAACGCUUACGUCAUCCGCGAGAAGACUUCCCAACAUUAGAUUCUUUUUCUUUUUUAA